GACGAACGCUGGCGGCGUGCCUAAUACAUGCAAGUCGAACGCAGUGGGGACGGGUGAGUAACACGUGGGUAACCUCCCAUCAGAGGGGAAAACACUUGGAAACAGGUGCUAAACCGAUACUGAUGGAUGGAGCCGAGGUGCAUUUGUUAGUUGGUGAGGUAACGGCUCACCAAGGCCAGGAUGCAUAGGCGUCCGGAAGGGGUGAUCGGCCACAUGGGGACUGAGGCUGGGCCCAGACUCUUGAGGGAGGAAGCAGUAGGGACUCUUCGGCAAUGGACGAAAGUCUGACCGAGCGACGCCGCGUGAGUGAAGAAGGUUUUCGGAUCGUAAAACUCUGUUGUUAGAGAAGCGGUAUCUAACCAGAAAGCCACGGCUAACUACGUGCCAGCAGCCGCGGUAAUAC
rnacentral:rRNA from 1 species